rnacentral:rRNA from 1 species
AUCUGGCAGCCUCAGGUUGUCCGAGUUGUAAUUUAGAGAAGUGUUACCCGCGCUGGACCGUGUACAAGUCUCCUGGAAUGGAGCGUCAUAGAGGGUGAGAAUCCCGUCUUUGACACGGACUACCAGGGCAUUGUGGUGCGCUCUCGAAGAGUCGCGUUGUUUGGGAAUGCAGCGCAAAAUGGGUGGUAAAUUCCAUCUAAAGCUAAAUAUUGGCGAGAGACCGAUAGCGAACAAGUACCGUGAGGGAAAGAUGAAAAGAACUUUGGAAAGAGAGUUAAACAGUACGUGAAAUUGCUGAAAGGGAAACGCUUGUAGUCAGUCGCGUUGGCCGGGGAUCAGCUCUGCUUCUGUGGGGUGUACUUCCUGGUUUAACGGGUCAGCAUCAGUUUCGAUCGCCGGAAAAGGGUUUGAGGAAUGUGGCAACCUCGGUUGUGUUAUAGCCUCUUAUCGUAUACGGCGGCUGGGACUGAGGAACUCAGCACCCUCUGGUGUGCUUAGGAUGCUGGCAUAAUGGCUUUAAGCGACCCGUCUUGAAACACGGACCAAGGAGUCUAACAUGCUUGCGAGUGUUUGGGUGGUAAACCCGAGCGCGUAAUGAAAGUGAAAGUUGGGAUCUCUGUCGUGGAGAGCACCGACGCCCGGACCUGAUGUUUACUGACGGAUCUGCGGUAGAGCACGUAUGUUGGGACCCGAAAGAUGGUGAACUAUGCCUGAAUAGGGUGAAGCCAGAGGAAACUCUGGUGGAG